rnacentral:rRNA from 1 species
AUUGAACGCUGGCGGCAUGCUUUACACAUGCAAGUCGAACGGUAACAGGUUAAGCUGACGAGUGGCGAACGGGUGAGUAAUGCAUCGGAACGUGCCCGGUCGUGGGGGAUAACGCAGCGAAAGCUGCGCUAAUACCGCAUCCGAUCUGAGGUAGAAAGCGGGGGCCCGUACGGCCUCGCCCGAUCGGACCGGCCGAUGUCAGAUUAGGUAGUUGGUGGGGUGAAGGCUCACCAAGCCAACGAUCUGGAGCUGGUCUGAGAGGACGACCAGCAACACUGGGACUGAGAAACGGCCCAGACUCCGACGGGAGGCAGCAGGGGGGAAUUUUGGACAAUGGGCGAAAGCCUGAUCCAGCAAUGCCGCGUGCAGGAAGAAGGCCUUCGGGUUGUAAACUGCUUUUGUACGGAGCGAAAAGGUCUCCUCUAAUACAGGGGGCUCGUGACGGUACCGUAAGAAUAAGCACCGGCUAACUACGUGCCAGCAGCCGCCGUAA